GAUCCUGGCUCAGAAUCAACGCUGGCGGCGUGCCUCAGACAUGCAAGUCGAACGAUUAAACUUUCCUUCGGGAAAGAUAUAAAGUGGCGCACGGGUGAGUAACACGUAAGUAAUCUACCUUCGAGUGGGGAAUAACGUUCGGAAACGAACGCUAAUACCGCAUAAUGCAGCGGCAUCGCAAGAUGACAGUUGUUAAAGGAAUUUAUUUCGCUUGAAGAGGAGCUUGCGGCAGAUUAGCUAGUUGGUAAGGUAACGGCUUACCAAGGCUACGAUCUGUAUCCGGUCUAAGAGGACGGUCGGACACACUGACACUGAAUAACGGGUCAGACUCCUACGGGAGGCAGCAGUCGGGAAUUUUGGGCAAUGGGCGAAAGCCUGACCCAGCAACGCCGCGUGAAGGAUGAAGUAUUUCGGUAUGUAAACUUCGAAAGAAUGGGAAGAAUAAAUGACGGUACCAUUUAUAAGCUCCGGCUAACUACGUGCCAGCAGCCGCGGUAAUACGUAGGGAGCAAGCGUUGUUCGGAUUUACUGGGCGUAAAGGGCGCGUAGGCGGCGCGGUAAGUCACUUGUGAAAUCUCUGAGCUUAACUCAGAACGGCCAAGUGAUACUGCAGUGCUAGAGUGUAGAAGGGGCAAUCGGAAUUCUUGGUGUAGCGGUGAAAUGCGUAGAUAUCAAGAGGAACACCUGAGG
rnacentral:rRNA from 1 species